UGAGUAAAUGUACUUAGUUACAUUCCACCACUGGUUACUUCUCAUUUCAGAUAGCGAUAUGUCCAACUUAUCAAGACACCAUUUCAAAUGGGCUGUGGGCAUCAUCAUUAGGCCUUUAUCAAGUACCACAAAGCUAUUGGUCGACUUUUAAAUGACCUCAUUUCGGAUCCACGUCAUUAACUACAAAUAACUAUGCUGACAUUUUGAUUGAUUUGAUUGAUUGAUUGAUUGUUUGGUUUGUAAAAAUUCUGAAAACAGUGAGAAAUG